CAGGCAGCGGAAACGAGAGCGGCGGACAGGAGAAGCAGCUGAGCUGACUGCGAGCAAGAAACGGCCGGGAGCGCGGUGUAAGAGUGCUGGUCAGUCGGUCGCCACGGCAUCUUAUCUAAAGAGUCCGGUGAACAGCGCGAGAGGAGCGAGUUGUGUGUGUCCGCUGCCUCGUGGAGAUCCAGGCAGCCGCCACGCCACAGACGCACGGUGCGAGAGGGGUGAGGACGCGUUCCACUUCUCCUGCGCCACGCAGAGACCUGCUGUCCAGGGAAUCACCUACACUCCGGCGGGGCGAGUGGACAGCCUGUUGGACUCUUUUAAUUCGAUUCUCCAGAGUACUGUUUUUAUCUGUUGUUUUAAGCUUAUUUUUGUAAUAAAGAUAUUUAUAUAUUUUUAUUGAA